UACGUAGGGCGCAAGCGUUGUCCGGAAUUAUUGGGUCGUAAAGAGCUCGUAGGCGGUCUGUCGCGUCUGCUGUGAAAACUCAGGGCUUAACCCUGAGCUUGCAGUGGGUACGGGCAGACUAGAGUGCGGUAGGGGAGACUGGAAUUCCAAGGUGUAGCGGUGAAAUGCGUAGAUAUCUGGAGGAAUACCGGUGGCGAAGGCGGCAUCCUGGACCGGCAGUUGAACGCGUGAGGAGCGAAAGCGUGGGGAGCGAACAGG
rnacentral:rRNA from 1 species